UGGAGAGAAGCAUGCAGGUUAUAUGCAAAUUUAUUUCAAUUUUACCAAAAAUGAUGGUCACCUCAUGGGUCAGGCUGAUGAUGAGCAUGGGUCAAAGUUAAGCCUAUUAGGGCAAGUUUUGUAUUACAGCUCAUAACGUUUGAUCCAUGUACAGUGUAUGCCCAUUUUUUUACCAAACUUGGAUGGUAGAUGUCCCCGGGGGAGUGGGGGGGGGGGGGGGUUGAAGGUCACCUCCAGGUCAAAUGUUACAGCAGGGGUUGAAGAACUUUUGGAGCUCAUUGUUAGGAUUUUGGUUUGUUUGUUUAAAUUUCUAUCAUCACUCAUAAAUUGUUACCAAUCUAAGAGAGAUGAUGUUCUUCAGAGAUUUGAAGGUCACCUCCAGUUCCAAGGUCACAGGCAGGGGUCAACAAGCCUUUUGAAUAUAAAAUGAUUUUGUUGUAUAUUAAUGGGUGAUACACAUUUUGGCUGAAAUCACCAUGGUGAAUCCCUUUAUUACCUUCAAUCCUUAUAAUAUCUCAAUUAUAUACUUGUACCCAUUCCACUUGUAAGAUUGAAUCUCACUUGCAGGCAAACACAUUUAGUUUGAAAAUGCUGAUAUCUCCUCACCUUCAUCUUUCUUUCCUAUUUUCUUUGCUCCCAUUCUUAUUUUGUUUUCCCUUCCUUCACCGGUCACUUCUUUGCUCAAACCGUAUUUUCAUUUAUACAGGUCAACAAUAAGAAAAUUUGGCUUUCAGUACUUCCUGGGAUUUUGAUCGGCAGAACGAAAGGGGAAUGAGGCAAAUUAAAUGUGCCGUACUUCAAAGUCUUGAAUCUUUCAUCAAUCUCCAAUUAGAAGGAGCAUGAAGAAAAAGAAGAUGAACAGGAAUUGACAAUGGCGCGUUCCAUACCUUGGAGUGAUUGCACAGUGGCACCCUUGGACCUAAUUUCACCCUGACAUCAAGUUGGUUUUAAGGAGAACCAUGAGAGAAAUUAAUAAAUUAAAGUUUGGCGAAUAUCAAAGAAUAACAGAGUUAUGAGGCUUCAAAGUUUUAAAUUUGUGACAUGACAUGCGAGCAGCUCCCAAUAUGUCAAUCAUGUAAUAUAAAUUCCAUAAAUUGCCAUUUUUUAAUGGUUUUCAUGAUAAUUAAAUGGGUUUUUAUCAGAAGCUUGUAUGAAAUAAUGUUUCUGAUAACAUUGAAUCCACAGGUAAAAUCAUU